rnacentral:rRNA from 1 species
CUGCUGCCUUCCGUAGGAGUCUGGGCCGUGUCUCAGUCCCAGUGUGGCUGGUCGUCCUCUCAGACCAGCUACUGAUCGUUGCUUUGGUGAGCCGUUACCUCACCAACAGGCUAAUCAGUCAUCGGCCGCUCCGCUCGCGAGAGGCCCUUGCGGGUCCCCCUCUUUCUUCCGUAGAACUCAUGCGGUAUUAGCCAACCUUUCGGCUGGUUGUCCCCCCACGAGCGGACACGUUCCGAUGUAUUACUCACCCGUUCG